rnacentral:rRNA from 1 species
AGGACGAACGCUGGCGGCGUGCUUAACACAUGCAAGUCGAGCGGAAAGGCCCUUCGGGGUACUCGAGCGGCGAACGGGUGAGUAACACGUGAGCAACCUGCCCCUGGCUCUGGGAUAGCCUCCGGAAACGGGGAUUAAUACCGGACAUUCACUUCCUUCCGCAUGGUUGGUGGUGGAAAGUUUUUCGGCCGGGGAGGGGCUCGCGGUCUAUCAGCUUGUUGGCGGGGUAACGGCCCACCAAGGCGACGACGGAUAGCCGGCCUGAGAGGGCGAUCGGCCACACUGGGACUGAGACACAGCCCAGACUCCUACGGGAGGCAGCAGUGGGGAAUAUUGCACAAUGGGCGCAAGCCUGAUGCAGCGACGCCGCGUGGGGGAUGAAGGCCUUCGGGUUGUAACCCCUUUCACCAGGAGCGAAUUCAGACGGUACCGUGGGAAGAAGCGCCGGCUAACUACGCGCCAGCACGCCGC